CCUACGGGAGGCAGCAGUGGGGGAUAUUGCACAAUGGGGGGAACCCUGAUGCAGCGACGCCGCGUGGGUGAAGGAGGGUUUCGGCGCGUAAAGCCCUAUCGGCAGGGAAGAAGGAGGACGGGACCUGACGAAGAAGCCCCGGCUAACUACGUGCCAGCAGCCGCGGUAAGACGGAGGGGGCAAGCGUGAUCCGGAUUUACUGGGUGUAAAGGGGGCGCAGAAGGCAGCGCAAGCCAGGAGUGAAAGCCCGGGGCCCAACCCCGGGACUGCUCUUGGAACUGCGCGGCUGGAGUGCAGGAGGGGCAGGCGGAAUUCCUGGUGUAGCGGUGAAAUGCGUAGAUAUCAGGAGGAACACCGGUGGCGAAGGCGGCCUGCUGGACUGCGACUGACGUUGAGGCCCGACAGCGUGGGGAGCAAACAGGAUUAGAUACCCCUGUAGUC
rnacentral:rRNA from 1 species